rnacentral:rRNA from 1 species
CUGAAAUUCGCCUUCAUGAAGCUGGAAUUGCUAGUAAUGGCAGGUCAGCAUACUGCCGUGAAUACGUUCCCGGGCCUUGUACACACCGCCCGUCACACCAUGAGAGUUGGAAAUACCCGAAGCCUGUGAGCUAACUGUAAAGAGGCAGCAGUCGAAGGUAGAGCCAAUGAUUGGGGUGAAGUCGUAACAAGGUACC